AUCGAACGCUAGCGGGAUGCCUUACACAUGCAAGUCGAACGGAGUGGCGAACGGGUGAGUAAUGUAUCGGAACGUGCCCAGUAGCGGGGGAUAACUAAGCGAAAGCGUAGCUAAUACCGCAUACUUUUGGAGCGGCCGAUAUCGGAGUAGCUAGUUGGUGGGGUAAAGGGUCACCAAGGCGACGAGCCGUCGCUGGUUUGAGAGGACGACCAGCCACACUGGGACUGAGACACGGCCCAUACUCCUACGGGAGGCAGCAUUGGGGAAUUUUGGUCAAUGGGGGCAACCCUGAGCCAGCCAUCCCGCGUGUGCGAUGAAGGCCGUCGGGUUGUAAAGCUCUUUUGGCAGGGAAGCGGUACCUGCAGAAUAAGCACCGGCUAACUACGUGCCAGCCGCCGCGGUAAUUC
rnacentral:rRNA from 1 species